CUAAAUCGCUGAAACCAUAAGGUACGGGGGAACCAUUCUUUACUGGGUAUUAUAUUAGUUAAUCCCAUGGGGUGAAUCCUUUUUAGGUAGGGCUACUCAAGGCCCGAAUCCGACAGCUAACCUCGUAAGCGUUUAUAUGAGAA
rnacentral:sRNA from 1 species